rnacentral:lncRNA from 1 species
GAAAAGAUGUUGUUAAGGGGUCACUCCCUGAAUCAACAUGUCAACCCUCCACCUCUGGGGUAAAAGAGGGAGAGAUCAGCCUUAGGCCCAUGACAGGCCAAGUUAAGGUUGAUACUAAUCUUAUUAUUUCUUCUCCUUCUUGGCAAAAUUAUCAAGACAGGUGGGAGAAACUUCUUACGAGAAGGGGCAUUAAUCCGGGAAAUUGCCGAGUUGAUGUUGCAGGAAAAUAUCCAAGGGUUUGGUUCAC